GAAAAUUUUCCAAGAUAGUAAGUGCAAAGGUACGAAGAUGACAACAUUUGAGAGUAAAAUUCUCUCGAGAGCAACGAGGAGGGGCUUCUUCAGACACUUGUUGCUGCUCGUGUUCCCUGAUGGCGAUAGUGAUCGAGCGUUUCUUUAAAAGACUGCCGAACAGACAUUAUCGUAAGAUAACAGCUACGAUUACGAUACAACGAGAUCGUAUAUAAAAUUGGUGGGAACGUAACCUAUUUUCUGACCCACACAUAAUCAUUAUCAUAAGCCCCAUUUUGAAAACUUAAGUAUGUAUAUAUAUGUAUAUGCACAUGGUUGGUACAAUAAUGGGAAAGGAAUUGGAUUAUAUAUGAUAUGAGAUAUAUAUCUAAGGAGCCCGAUUAUUUUAAAAUAUGUAAUAUUUUGUUUACUUUUUUACUUUAAUAAAUUUCAUUUAGAGAAUCAUUUCUCAUAAUAAUCUUCAGGUAUAUUUUAUUCAUCUCAUUUUUUUAUCGUGAGCUUCGUUUUAAAAUAAAUAUAUUAUAUUCAAUCAUUUUUCAAUCUUUUCAAUCAUUUUAAAAUGCAAAGUUUAUCUUUACAUUCAGUUCAUGUUUGCAAGUAUCUUUUAUAAUUAUAAUCUUCAUUUCUUGAUCAUCUCCUGAUAAUGUUAUUUUAACAUUAUAUCGCAGCAUUGUGUAAUCUUAGAAAUAUAUUUAUACCGAUUAUUUCGUAUUUAUAUAAUCAAAAUGAAAAAUCAUAAUAAAAAUUACAAUAAUCUUUUUUCUUGGAAGAAUUUUUCUUGAUUGAUCGCAAUUAGAUUUUAUCGUUGCAUAAAUCGUUGUGUGGGCGUGAUUCAUAGAAGAUGGCGUCCUUCAAGAUCGAUAUAAAAGAAGCUUGAGGUAUCUGCCAUUACAUAAAUAAUCCAACGCAUCUGGCCGCAUUCGUGGCCGGUAUUUUUAAAAAAAAAUUUAACAAGUAUAAUCUAUGUGUACGAUCUACAGUAAUAACAGUAAUUUAAAUAAAUUAUUUCAAUUCAAAUCAUAUUGCAUAUUUCGUUAUAAAUAAUGAAGAAUUUUUUCAAACACUUGUUAUUACUGCUAUCUUUAAUGGCGAUACCAAUCUAUGUAUCAUCGAUAAACAUUCGAAGUCCACAAGUGAAAUUACCACCGAAAAACGAAAAUAUUUCAAGUUCAAUUUCUAUUCCUAUGAGCAUAAUACAAGUACCAUGCAAAUUUGGAUAUAUAAGAAGCCCAAAAGAUAAUUUAUGUCGUGAGACAGUACCAUUAAACUAAUGCGUCAUCGUAAAUCGUAAAAGGCCUUAGACCGCCAUCUGUUAUCUUCAUGAAUCUUCUCAUAUCGACGAAUCGAAUUUACCGACUCAACAUAAUGGACAUAAAGAUCAAGAAAUACGAGUAUUUAAGAUGUAAAAAUUUUUAUUAACGAUGAUUAAAUUUAAAAUUUGUGAUAUACUUGUAAUUUUUGUUUUUAAAAUUGAAGCAUGAAAUUUAAUAAAAAAACGCUUGCUAUUGA